GACGAACGCUGGCGGCGUGCUUAACACAUGCAAGUCGAGCGGUAAGGCCCUUUCGGGGGUACGACGAGCGGCGAACGGGUGAGUAACACGUGGGUGACCUGCCCUCAGCUCUGGGAUAAGCCUGGGAAACUGGGUCUAAUACUGGAUAUGACUCCACGGUGCAUGUCGUGGGGUGGAAAGCCUUGUGCGGCUGAGGAUGGGCCCGCGGCCUAUCAGCUUUGUUGGUGGGGUGANGGCCUACCAAGGCGACGACGGGUAGCCGGCCUGAGAGGGCGACCGGCCACACUGGGACUGAGACACGGCCCAGACCCCUACGGGA
rnacentral:rRNA from 1 species